rnacentral:rRNA from 1 species
AGAGUUUGAUCCUGGCUCAGAUUGAACGCUGGCGGCAUGCCUUACACAUGCAAGUCGAACGGCAGCACGGGGGCAACCCUGGUGGCGAGUGGCGAACGGGUGAGUAAUACAUCGGAACGUGCCCAGUAGUGGGGGAUAGCUCGGCGAAAGCCGGAUUAAUACCGCAUACGACCUACGGGUGAAAGCGGGGGAUCGCAAGACCUCGCGCUAUUGGAGCGGCCGAUGUCAGAUUAGGUUGUUGGUGGGGUAAUGGCUCACCAAGCCGACGAUCUGUAGCUGGUCUGAGAGGACGACCAGCCACACUGGGACUGAGACACGGCCCAGACUCCUACGGGAGGCAGCAGUGGGGAAUUUUGGACAAUGGGCGAAAGCCUGAUCCAGCCAUGCCGCGUGCGGGAAGAAGGCCUUCGGGUUGUAAACCGCUUUUGUCAGGGAAGAAAUCUUUCGAGUUAAUACCUCGAGAGGAUGACGGUACCUGAAAGAAUAAGCCCCA